rnacentral:rRNA from 1 species
UUGCGCUACUAGAGCGGCCGAUGGCAGAUUAGGUAGUUGGUGGGAUAAAAGCUUACCAAGCCUUCGAUCUGUAGCUGGUCUGAGAGGACGACCAGCCACAUUGGAACUGAGACACGGUCCAGACUCCUACGGGAGGCAGCAGUGGGGAAUUUUGGACAAUGGGGGCAACCCUGAUCCAGCCAUGCCGCGUGAGUGAAGAAGGCCUUCGGGUUGUAAAGCACUUUAAGCGAGGAGGAGGCUACUUGGAUUAAUACUCUAGGAUAGUGGACGUUACUCGCAGAAUAAGCACCGGCUAACUCUGUGCCAGCAGCCGCGGUAAUACAGAGGGUGCGAGCGUUAAUCGGAUUUACUGGGCGUAAAGCGUGCGUAGGCGGCUUUUUAAGUCGGAUGUGAAAUCCCUGAGCUUAACUUAGGAAUUGCAUUCGAUACUGGGAAGCUAGAGUAUGGGAGAGGAUGGUAGAAUUCCAGGUGUAGCGGUGAAAUGCGUAGAGAUCUGGAGGAAUACCGAUGGCGAAGGCAGCCAUCUGGCCUAAUACUGACGCUGAGGUACGAAAGCAUGGGGAGCAAACAGGAUUAGAUACCCUGGUAGUCCAUGCCGUAAACGAUGUCUACUAGCCGUUGGGGCCUUUGAGGCUUUAGUGGCGCAGCUA